AGAGUUUGAUCCUGGCUCAGAACGAACGCUGGCGGCGCGUCUUAAGCAUGCAAGUCGAGCGGUAUGGAGAAGCUUGCUUCUCCAGAGAGCGGCGGACUGGUGAGUAACACGUGGGUGACCUACCCUUAGGAUGGGGAUAGCCACUAGAAAUAGUGGGUAAUACCGAAUGUGGUUGCGAGACUGUGGUCUUGCAAAGAAAGGAGCUACGGCUCCGCCUGAGGAUGGGCCCGCGUCCCAUUAGCUAGUUGGUGAGGUAACGGCCCACCAAGGCGAUGAUGGGUAGCCGGCCUGAGAGGGUGAACGGCCACACUGGGACUGAGAUACGGCCCAGACUCCUACGGGAGGCAGCAGCUAAGAAUAUUCCGCAAUGGACGAAAGUCUGACGGAGCGACGCCGCGUGGAUGAAGAAGGCCGAAAGGUUGUAAAAUCCUUUUGUCGAUGAAGAAUAAGCAUGGGAGGGAAUGCCCGUGUGAUGACGUUAGUCGGCGAAUAAGCCCCGGCUAAUUACGUGCCAGCAGCCGCGGUAACACGUAAGGGGCGAGCGUUGUUCGGAAUUAUUGGGCGUAAAGGGCGCGUAGGCGGUCCUGUAAGCCCGGCGUGAAAACCUGGAGCUCAACUCCGGGCCUGCGCUGGGAACUGCGGGACUAGAGUCAUGGAAGGGAAGUUGGAAUUCCAGGUGUAGGGGUGAAAUCUGUAGAUAUCUGGAAGAACACCGGUGGCGAAGGCGAACUUCUGGCCAAUGACUGACGCUGAGGCGCGAAAGUGCGGGGAGCAAACAGGAUUAGAUACCCUGGUAGUCCGCACCAUAAACGAUGUACACUAGGCGUUGGGUCGAGUGACUCAGUGCCGAAGCUAACGUGAUAAGUGUACCGCCUGGGGAGUAUGCCCGCAAGGGUGAAACUCAAAGGAAUUGACGGGGGCCCG
rnacentral:rRNA from 1 species